GAUAAGUGGGAGCUUCGGCGCA
rnacentral:snRNA from 1 species